CCUUUGCCUGAGGCCUGGCCGCGGAGGCUUCUGGGAUUCGUAGUCUCCAGCAGGGCCUGAACGAGUGGCGACCUGAGCGUUCAAGAGGGGGCCAUUUUGAGAGCCACUUAAUCCUGAGGCGGCUACCAAGGUGGUAACUAGGGCCACCUCUGCUCCGAGGGCAAUGCUGCGAGUGAAUUGGACCCCGCUGGAGUGGGCAUACUCGCUGAUACUUCUCACCAUUGUGUUGCUUUCAUGGGGAUAUGUUAUUUAUGCAACACGGAUAGCAGCCAAAUGGCAGCUGAGGGAGGACUAUCCAAUGCAAACGCAGAAUCUUUGAGUCAAACCAUGGCAGAGACCUUCUACAGCCAUGUACAAAUGUCAAGGCAUUUAGGAUGGUUUCAGCCAUAGUCUAUAAAAAUCUGAAAUCAAGGGUUGAAAGAGAUUUACAAAACUGUGAUAACAGCACCGAGAUCUCAUGGCAAGAACCCAACAUAACAUGACCAUCUUCUCUGAAGAAAACUUCAAUGGACUUAACUCCAUUUGCUCCAACUGUUAUGACAAUUUAGAGAUAAGAUGACAAAAGUUGGCAUCCUAAAAGAGCUAUUCCUGAGAAAACUCCACCAGUCUUGCACAUCUAGAAUAAACAAGAGUCAUAUAUGCAGAGGUCACCUGUUAAUUCUGUGUUUAAACAUUACACAAUGUUAUUUUACUGUCAAAGUAAGAAAUUCUAAGUCAACAACUAUGCAACUAUAACUUUAGCUGAAUUUGUUGCAAGAAAACUACACGCACAUAAAGGAUUUAAUGGUACAGAAAUAAAGAAUAUUUUGAUACCUGAAAGAGUCAGGAUUUGCAGUAUGGUAUUAACUAAUGUUUACAUGGUCCAAUCUGUAAUCCAGGCAGAAAUUGACACUGAGCAGUGACAAAGUGAAGGUCUGAAAUGCAAGUCUGGUUAAUUUUAAACUUUGUCUUCUUUUGUAAAGCUUUUAUUAACUUUUUACUGAACUUUCUAACAUUAAGGUGUAAAUUAAAGUAAAUUCCCUUUUACAUCUACAUGUGGAUGUUGCACACACACCCAACCUAAUAUAUGAAUAAAAUAUUUUUUUAUUUAGUGUC